AUUGAACGCUGGCGGCAGGCCUAACACAUGCAAGUCGAGCGGAUGAAGGGAGCUUGCUCCUGGAUUCAGCGGCGGACGGGUGAGUAAUGCCUAGGAAUCUGCCUGGCAGUGGGGGAUAACGUCCGGAAACGGGCGCUAAUACCGCAUACGACCUGCGGGAGAAAGUGGGGGAUCUUCGGACCUCUCGCUCUCAGAUGAGCCUAGGUCGGAUUAGCUAGUUGGUGGGGUAAAGGCCUACCAAGGCGACGAUCCGUAACUGGUCUGAGAGGAUGAUCAGUCACACUGGAACUGAGCCACGGUCCAGACUCCUACGGGAGGCAGCAGUGGGGAAUAUUGGACAAUGGGCGAAAGCCUGAUCCAGCCAUGCCGCGUGUGUGAAGAAGGUCUUCGGAUUGUAAAGCACUUUAAGUUGGGAGGAAGGGCAGUAAGUUAAUACCUUGCUGUUUUGACGUUACCAACAGAAUAAGCACCGGCUAACUUCGUG
rnacentral:rRNA from 1 species